UAAUAAGUGUUUUAUGGCACUUUUUAAAUCCAUAUCCACCUUGUGUGCAAUGUCAGUCGAUCUUCUUUAUUGGAGAUCGACCAAACAUCAACCUUUAUUUUUAACUCUUUGUCUGAAAAAUAUUAUGAAUAAACAAUUCAAAAUA
rnacentral:misc_RNA from 1 species